rnacentral:rRNA from 1 species
UACGAGGGGAGCAAGCGUUGUUCGGAUUUACUGGGCGUAAAGGGCGCGUAGGCGGCGUGACAAGUCACUUGUGAAAUCUCCGGGCUUAACUCGGAACGGUCAAGUGAUACUGUCGUGCUAGAGUACAGAAGGGGCAACUGGAAUUCCCGGUGUAGUGGUGGAAUGCGUAGAUAUCGGGAGGAACACCAGUGGCGAAGGCGGCUUCCUGGACCGGUUCUGGCACUGAGGAGCGAAAGCGUGGGGAGCGAUCCGG